rnacentral:rRNA from 1 species
AUUGAACGCUGGCGGCAGGCCUAACACAUGCAAGUCGAACGAGUGGCGGACGGGUGAGUAAUGUCUGGGAACUGCCCGAUGGAGGGGGAUAACUAUUGGAAACGAUAGCUAAUACCGCAUACUGUGAGAUGGUCCUGCGUUGUAUUAGCUAGUUGGUGAGGUAAAGGCUCACCAAGGCGCCGAUACAUAGCCGACCUGUGCGGGUGGACGGGCAAACUGGGACUGUGACACGGCCCAGACUCCUACGGGGGGCAGCAGUAGGGAAACUUCGGCAAUGGGCGGAAGUCUGACCGAGCAACGCCGCGUGAGUGAAGAAGGUUUUCGGAUCGUAAAGCUCUGUUGUUAGAGGAGCGGUAACUAACCAGAAAGGGACGGCUAACUACGUGCCAGCCGCCGCGGUAAUAC